rnacentral:rRNA from 1 species
CACGCUGUAAACGAUCAAUACUAGGUGUGCGGGGACUGACCCCCUGCGUGCCGGAGUUAACACAAUAAGUAUUGCACCUGGGGAGUACGAUCGCAAGGUUGAAACUCAAAGGAAUUGACGGGGGCCCGCACAAGCGGUGGAUUAUGUGGUUUAAUUCGAAGCAACGCGAAGAACCUUACCAGGACUUGACAUCCUGCUAACGAAGCAGAGAUGCAUUAGGUGCCCUUCGGGGAAAGCAGAGACAGGUGG